AUGUCCUUUUACAGACAUGAGGAUCAUCACACGUGUCUCUGUCAGUCACUGAAUCAACUGAGUUUGAUUUUUGUAUCACUGUGGUGGACUUUCGGCAGCGGCACCAAACUGGAUGUUGGCAGCGUCACUCGUCCUAAAGUGAGCGUCCUGCCGCCCUCCAGUGCAGAGAUCUCCUCAAAGAAGACAGCGACACUGGUGUGUGUGGCCAGCAAGGGCUUCCCGUCAGACUGGAGCCUGAGCUGGAAGGUGGACGGGAGCAGCAGGUCUCAGGAGAGCAGCGCUGGGCUCCUGGAGAAGGACGGUCUGUACAGCUGGAGCAGCAGCCUGACUCUCUCUGAGCAGGAGUGGAUGGAGAGCGUCUCAGUGAGCUGUGAGGCCACACGGAGCGGCCAGCCUGCGCUCACUGGACACGUGACGAGACAGCAGUGUUCAGAGUAGAUCUGCUGCUCUUCUCACUCAUGUCUCACAUGGAGACUAACAGCACAUGAGCGACUCCUUCAUUCUCCACAUCCAGCUUCAGUCGCUCGCAUCUGCAUCUGCUCUGCUUUGUGUGCUUCAUACAAGAACAUAUGUGUCUGCUUUAUCAUUCAGUUAUGAUUCUAUUACAGUUCAGUCAAUAAAUAACAUACAAUUGUAACUUU